CCAGACGGUCGGACGGUCGCUGUUGCCUGUGCAAAUCGGGUGAUGGAGGAAAGUCCGGGCUCCAUGGGAGAACGGUGCCGGCUAACGGCCGGCGAGGGUGACCUUAGGGAAAGUGCCACAGAAAACAAACCGCCUUCCUGGUCCAACCAUGGGCAACCAUGGGACAGGCUGAAGGUAAGGGUGAAACGGUGCGGUAAGAGCGCACCGCUCCGCUGGCAACAGGGGAGGCAUGGUAAACCCCACCGGGAGCAAGACCGAAUAGGAACAGCUGAGGCUACGUGUAGCCUCAGGGGUCUCUCGCCCCGCUGUUCGGGUUGGUUGCGUGAGGCACGCCGCAAGGCGCGUCCCAGAGGAAUGACCGUCCAAGCCCUUAACAGGGCCGGACAGAACCCGGCUUACAGACCGUCUGGCAUU
rnacentral:RNase_P_RNA from 1 species